rnacentral:lncRNA from 1 species
UUAAAUAUCAAUGUGAUGUCGAGUCUUUAUGCGUGGUUUUCGUUAUUUACUGAUUCUCCUGUUUACUUGAGUCAUACAAAAUUUUUGCAAAAAUCUAGACUUAGAGAUAUAGUGCAUUUUUUGAAAAUUCUAAACUAUAAAUCAAACUGAGGUUGAAUUGUAGAGAUUUGGAAAAGCCUUAUAAGAUCGGUAUCGUUUUAAC